rnacentral:rRNA from 1 species
AUUGAACGCUGGCGGCAGGCCUAACACAUGCAAGUCGAACGAGUGGCGGACUGGUGAGUAAUGUCUUGGAAACUGCCUGAUGGAGGGGGAUAACUACUGUAAACGGUAGCUACUACCGCAUACCCUCGUAUGUGCCCAGAUUGGAUUAGCGAGUAGGUGGGGUAAAGCCUCACCUAGGCGACGAUCCCUAGCUGGUCUGAGAGGGUGACAGGCCACACUGGAACGGAGAAACGGUCCAGACUCCUACGGGAGGCAGCAGUGGGGAAUAUUGGACAAUGGGCGAAAGCCUGAUGCAGCCAUGCCGCGUGUAUGAAGAAGGCCUGCGGGUUGUAAAGUACUUUCAGCGGGGAGGCGUUACCCGAAGAAGAAGCACCGGCUAACUCCGUGACAGCAGCCGCGGUAAUUC